rnacentral:rRNA from 1 species
GACGGGCCCGCACAAGCAGCGGAGCGUUGUGGUUUAAUUCGAUGUUACACGAAGAACCUUACCAGGGUUUGACAUGCAAGUGGUAGGAAGCCGAAAGGUGACCGACCCUUCGGGGAGCUUGCACAGGUGCUGCAUGGCUGUCGUCAGCUCGUGUCGUGAGAUGUUCGGUUAAGUCCGCUAACGAGCGCAACCCUCGCUGUGUGUUAUAUGUGUCACACGGGACUGCCGGUCUUAAAGCCGGAGGAAGGUGGGGAUGAUGUCAAGUCAGCAUGGCCUUUAUAUCCUGGGCUACACACACGCUACAAUGGCCAACACAAUAGGUUGCUAAGCCGCGAGGUGGCGCCAAUCCAUAAAGUUGGUCUCAGUUCAGAUUGUAGGCUGCAACCCGCCUGCAUGAAGAUGGAGUUGCUAGUAACCGCAGGUCAGCUAUACUGCGGUGAAUACGUUCCCGGGGCUU